CCUUGGUCAGUACGUGCCCAGGAACCAUGUUCAAUAUCAUCUUGGAUCAAGUGCACUCAGGAUGAUAAAUGUGCUGUGAAACCAACUCCACAGCCUGAAUGUCCACAGUCAGACUGGAAAACCUUGGUGAUAGCCCUGGUGUGAGCCUGCCCUUGCUGCUGGGCCCUUCAUGAGCGCAGAGGCCAUGGCAGAGUACAGGGAGGCCAUGAGCCCCACAUCACUUUCCUUUGAUCUUUUUGCAGGGGGGAGUCUCACCUUCUUCCUCGGCUUCCCGAGUGCAACCUGGCCUGCUGCAGUGGGUGAAGUUUUGGUAGGUGAGUGUCAGAGUGAGCCGACCCAGGCCACAUCCUGGGAGUGGAGGCACAGUCACCCGGGGCAGGGCCAGGAUCUUGGUAUAUCCUCAGAUCUCAGUGGGCAGCGACAUGAAGUCAGGUAUGCUCUGGGUGCAUGCUCUAAAGGUGUUAAGGAAGAGGGGACCUCAUGGUGGGGUGUGUAGAAAGACCCAUAAUAAAGUGAUCUAGGGCUGGGUGCAGUGGCUCAUGCCUGUACUCUCUGUGCUUUGGGAGGCUGGGGUGGGAGGAUCACUUGAGUCUGGGAGUUUGAGACCAGACUGGGCAAUAUAGCAAGACCCCAUCUCUAAAAGAACAAAACAAACCAAACCAAAACAAACCAAACCAAACCAAACCAAAACAAACCAUUCCAGCCUGGGAAACAUGGCAAAACCCCGUCUACUAAAAAUACAAAAAAUUAGCCAGGUGAGGUGGUGCAUGAUUGUAAACCCAGCUACUCUGGAGGCUGAGGUG
rnacentral:sRNA from 1 species